UGGGGAAUAUUGGACAAUGGGGGGAACCCUGAUCCAGCCAUGCCGCGUGUGUGAAGAAGGCCUUAUGGUUGUAAAGCACUUUAAGCGAGGAGGAGGGUACUGGUAUUAAUACUACCAGCUACUGGACGUUACUCGCAGAAUAAGCACCGGCUAACUCUGUGCCAGCAGCCGCGGUAAUACAGAGGGUGCGAGCGUUAAUCGGAAUUACUGGGCGUAAAGCGCGCGUAGGUGGUUCGUUAAGUUGAAUGUGAAAGCCCCGGGCUCAACCUAGGAACUGCAUCCAAAACUGGCGAGCUAGAGUAGGGCAGAGGGUGGUGGAAUUUCCUGUGUAGCGGUGAAAUGCGUAGAUAUAGGAAGGAACACCAGUGGCGAAGGCGACCACCUGGGCUCAUACUGACACUGAGGUGCGAAAGCGUGGGGAGCAAACAGG
rnacentral:rRNA from 1 species